UACGAAGGGGCUAGCGUUGCUCGGAAUCACUGGGCGUAAAGGGUGCGUAGGCGGGUCUUUAAGUCAGGGGUGAAAUCCUGGAGCUCAACGUCCAGAACUGCCUUUGAUACUGAGGAUCUUGAGUUCGGGAGAGGUGAGUGGAACUGCGAGUGUAGAGGUGAAAUUCGUAGAUAUUCGCAAGAACACCAGUGGCGAAGGCGGCUCACUGGCCCGAUACUGACGCUGAGGCACGAAAGCGUGGGGGAGCAAACAGG
rnacentral:rRNA from 1 species